rnacentral:lncRNA from 1 species
AAGGGUCUAUAUUUAUCAGGGCCUUGACUUAAUCUGUAAAACAGGCACAUUGGGGCAGCAGACUUAAAAGCCUGCUGUGGAGUGUUAAGUGCAGUGAAAACGUUCAGUUGUCAUUAAUGAAGUGAGACACCCCAAGGUGGGCUCACAAUGCUGCAUCUGAUGACGUUGGAUGGGAGCCUUGUACACCUGCCGGAAGGUGCAUCCAAAGUGACUUUAUGGGGUGGUUCCUGUAGCAGCCGCUCAUAUGCUGCUCACAGGGAGCCAGACAGCUCCUUGUGGACCCUUGACACACAUGUAGUCACCAUCUUUCCUUUAAAAGACAGCAGGGAGGUCAGGCCUAUUGCUGCUCACUUUCUCGUGGUGAACGCAGCAGACAUGAAAGACAGCAGCCACUGGUCGCCAAUGCGUCUUUCUGCACGUCAGCGGUUUUGUGCGUUAGACUUUUCCAGCACUGCUUUGCAUCAGGGUGAGCUUGAGGAAUGAGCAUUUCUAAAUUUGGUAGCAAACAUUUGAGACUCCUGUGACUUUAGCCACAUUGGAGGAAUUAUUUAUUUUUAUAACAUAAAUGAGAUAGGCAGAUGUGAGUAUUUUUAGUCACAUGGGACCUUUGUCACGGAAGCAGGUAGCAGCCAAGACACACAUUAAACUGAACUCACGGUGCAGAGUUCAGAAUAAGACACAUGGACUUCAUCCUUCAGCCUUCAGAGACCCCCUAAGAAGCCAGGAGGCACUGGAGGUCUUGUUUGUUUCCUCCUGGUGGCUGUGGCAUCUGUAUCAAGGUCAUUUUGCAAAACAGCCCAGGGAUAAGAUCAGGUCCUGCAGAGCAGAAGAUGAUAUAUCGGCCCCCACCACUUCCCACCAGCCAAGUGCAUCUGUGGUUUUAAAUAUGUGUACCCUGGAAUUCUCCAGCUUUCUGGUAGUCUGUAUGGAUAGAAAAAAAGUCUAGAACUGUCCAGAUGCCUGUAACCCUGAAACAGGAAUGUUCCUGUGUGAAUUUUAUUACCAAAACAGGAUGUAAAGGGAGAGAGGCGGGAAUUUCUUGAUCCAAGGUGGCCCUUUUCUUGUAACUCACAGUCAAACUUUGUCAAGUUCUAGGUGAUGUUGCCCAAGGUGAUCUAUUUAUUUGUGUUAAUGUCUUGCUUUGUGAAUACUGUGCUUCAGGAAUUUAAAUAUUUAGGUGAGAUUGUCAUGUGUGAUUGAAUUGGCAGCAUAAUUUUACUGUUUGUAAAGCCUUUGGUUCCC